rnacentral:rRNA from 1 species
AUUGAACGCUGGCGGCAUGCUUUGCACAUGCAAGUCGAACGGUAACAGGCCGCAAGGUGCUGACGAGUGGCGAACGGGUGAGUAAUGCAUCGGAACGUGCCCAGUCGUGGGGGAUAACGCAGCGAAAGCUGCGCUAAUACCGCAUACGAUCUAUGGAUGAAAGCGGGGGACCGUAAGGCCUCGCGCGAUUGGAGCGGCCGAUGUCAGAUUAGGUAGUUGGUGGGGUAAAGGCUCACCAAGCCAACGAUCUGUAGCUGGUCUGAGAGGACGACCAGCCACACUGGGACUGAGACACGGCCCAGACUCCUACGGGAGGCAGCAGUGGGGAAUUUUGGACAAUGGGCGCAAGCCUGAUCCAGCCAUUCCGCGUGCAGGAUGAAGGCCCUCGGGUUGUAAACUGCUUUUGUACGGAACGAAACGGUGCUCUCUAAUACAGGGCGCUAAUGACGGUACCGUAAGAAUAAGCACCGGCUAACUACGUGCCAGCCGCCGCAGUAACAC